UACGGAAUGAAAUUAUUGGCCCCUAUGCUCAGACGGAGUUGGGACACGGAACGUUUGUGAGAGGGCUGGAGACAAGGGCUACUUAUGACCCAACAGUUGAGGAGUUUGUACUGCACACUCCCACCAUAACAGCAACCAAGUGGUGGCCAGGAGGAUUGGGCAAGACUUGCAACUACUGUGUAGUGAUGGCUCAGCUGUACACUCAAGGUCGCUGUUAUGGUCCCCAUCCGUUCAUCGUUCAGCUGAGAGACGAGGAAACUCACCGUAGUCUUCCUGGUCAGUCUCAACUUAAUGCAACAUCACA